rnacentral:rRNA from 1 species
UACGUAGGGUGCGAGCGUUUAAUCGGAAUUACUGGGCGUAAAGCGUGCGCAGGCGGUUUUGUAAGUCUGUGUGAAAUCCCCGGGCUCAACCUGGGAAUGGCGAUGGAGACUGCAAGGCUAGAAUCUGGCAGAGGGGGGGUAGAAUUCCACGUGUGAGCAGUGAAAUGCGUAGAGAUGUGGAGGAACACCGAUGGCGAAGGCA